rnacentral:rRNA from 1 species
CAUCGCCCGUUGCUCCUUCCGAUUGAAUGGUCCGGUGAAGUGUUCGGAUCGUGGCGACGGGGGCGGUUCGCCGCCCCCGACAUCGCGAGAAGUCCAUUGAACCUUAUCAUUUAGAGGAAGGAGAAGUCGUAACAAGGUUUCCGUAGGUGAACCUGCGGAAG